GGGCGGGGGCACGGGGGGAGGAAAGCAGGGGAUCGCAAGACCUCGCGCUAUUGGAGCGGCCGAUGUCCGAUUAGCUAGUUGGUGGGGUAAUGGCCUACCAAGGCAACGAUCGGUAGCUGGUCUGAGAGGAUGAUCAGCCACACUGGGACUGAGACACGGCCCAGACUCCUACGGGAGGCAGCAGUGGGGAAUUUUGGACAAUGGGCGCAAGCCUGAUCCAGCCAUGCCGCGUGAGUGAAGAAGGCCUUCGGGUUGUAAAGCUCUUUCGGCCGGAACGAAAUCGACCGGGCUAAUACCCCGGUUGGAUGACGGUACCGGAAGAAGAAGCACCGGCUAACUACGUGCCAGCAGCCGCGGUAAUACGUAGGGUGCAGGCGUUAAUCGGAAUUACUGGGCGUAAAGCGUGCGCAGGCGGCUUCCUAAGUCAGA
rnacentral:rRNA from 1 species